UGCUGGCUCUCAGAGGGGCGGGGAAGAGCCGGGUCGCUCUCGUCAGCUGAGGAGAAUGAUUCAUAGAGGAGGGUCGGGAGAGAAGAACAGUUCUGUCUGUGGAAGCCCACUUAAAAGGCUGGACUCUUCUCCGAGGAAGGGAGAGGAAGGAGAGAAAGUAGGACCUCGGGUCUGACCCCGCCUCUGGCCGUUCCCCAGGCCUCUACCGAGUCCUGGGCCUUGUCGCGGGUGGCCGCGAGGCGCCGGUUGCUGGGGGACCCGUGACGUCGCGGGGUGAAAGUUGAGGGGCGGUGACGUCGGGCCUGCCCGGGCGGAGGCUGGCGGGUUGGAGGCAGAGGGAGGGAGGGAAGGAGGGAAGGAAGGAAGCUGGGAAGCAGCGAGCGAGCGGGGGCGCGAGGCGUUUACCUGGAGGCAGCGGCUUGGGCGCGCACAGCGGCCGCGGCUCCCCCGCACCUGCGGCCAUGGAUGAGGAGCGCGCCCUCUACAUCGUCCGGGCCGGCGAGGCGGGGGCUAUCGAACGGGUCCUGAGGGAUUACAGCGAUAAGCAUAGGGCUACUUUCAAAUUUGAAUCAACAGAUGAAGAUAAAAGAAAGAAACUCUGUGAAGGCAUAUUUAAAGUCCUUUUAAAGGACAUCCCAACAACAUGUCAAGUGUCCUGCCUGGAAGUUCUCCGCAUUCUCUCCAGAGACAAAAAGGUUUUAGUUCCUGUAACAACCAAGGAAAAUAUGCAGAUACUACUGCGACUAGCCAAGCUAAAUGAGUCGGAUGAUUCUUUGGAGAAGGUGUCAGAGUUCCCAGUUAUUGUGGAGUCAUUAAAAUGUCUGUGUAACAUAGUGUUCAACAGUCAAAUGGCACAGCAGCUCAGCCUGGAACUUAACCUUGCUGCAAAGCUCUGUAACCUCCUGAGAAAGUGCAAGGACCGAAAGUUUAUCAAUGACAUUAAGUGCUUUGACUUGCGCUUGCUCUUCCUCUUGUCACUUUUGCACACCGACAUCAGGUCGCAAUUGCGCUAUGAGCUCCAGGGACUGCCGCUGCUAACCCAGAUCUUGGAAAGUGCCUUUAGCAUCAAGUGGACCGAUGAAUAUGAGUCGGCCAUAGACCAUAAUGGACCUCCUCUCUCACCUCAGGAGACAGACUGUGCCAUUGAGGCCCUGAAAGCUCUCUUCAAUGUGACGGUAGACAGUUGGAAGGUGCAUAAAGAGAGUGAUUCUCAUCAGUUUCGUGUCAUGGCAGCUGUCCUUCGUCAUUGUUUACUAAUCGUAGGUCCAACUGAAGAUAAAACAGAAGAGCUACACAGCAAUGCGGUCAACCUUUUAAGCAAUGUUCCAGUCUCUUGUUUGGAUGUUCUCAUUUGUCCAUUAACCCAUGAAGAAACAGCCCAAGAGGCAACGACUCUAGAUGAACUGCCCAGUGAUAAAACAGCUGAGAAAGAAACAGUUUUGAAAAACAGUACCAUGGUAUACAAUGGCAUGAAUAUGGAAGCCAUUCAUGUUUUACUCAAUUUUAUGGAGAAGAGAAUAGACAAGGGAAGCAGCUAUAGAGAGGGUCUAACUCCAGUUCUCAGCUUAUUAACAGAAUGUUCUCGAGCCCAUCGAAACAUCAGAAAAUUUCUCAAAGAUCAGGUUUUACCACCAUUGAGGGAUGUGACAAAUCGACCUGAAGUUGGCUCAACUGUGAGAAAUAAGCUGGUGCGCCUCAUGACUCAUGUUGACCUUGGAGUCAAGCAAAUUGCUGCUGAAUUCCUUUUUGUCCUUUGCAAAGAGAGAGUGGAUAGUCUGCUGAAAUACACUGGCUAUGGGAAUGCUGCAGGACUGUUGGCGGCCAGGGGCCUCUUGGCUGGAGGAAGAGGAGAUAAUUGGUACUCAGAGGACGAGGAUACAGACACUGAAGAAUACAAAAAUGCAAAACCAAACAUUAAUCUUAUCACUGGUCAUUUAGAGGAACCAAUGCCAAACCCCAUAGAUGAAAUGACAGAAGAACAAAAAGAAUAUGAAGCCAUGAAACUUGUCAACAUGCUUGAUAAACUUUCCAGGAGAGCAAAUGUGAAGGACCUGCACCAGGAUGAUGGUUAGCAACAGUGGCCCGUGCCAAAGCACUUACCAAAGUGAUGACUAAGACCCUGUCAUUAAUUCCAUGUGUCAAUACUGCCCUGUAGUACACAGAGCAGACAAGAAAGAAGAGCCCUUGAAAACAAGGGAAUGAUUUUUGAGUCGUUAUCAAGCUAAGUGGCAAGCGGGAAGCUGAAACUCGUAUAGUUGAACAUUCUUGGAGGCUUAUCUCUUCCCUGGCCAGAUGCCUGAUCAGAUGAGAAGCCCGCCAUGAUACUGUCACAGUGCCUAGAAUGGGCUCUUUAUCCAGUAGACAUCACUGUUCUUUUUGAUGAUAACGAGGGCAGUCUUAACUUGUGUUAAGGCCUGUGUGUAGCAUUGAAGAGAGGAGUUGCUUAAACCAAUGGGACUAAAACCCGAUGGGACAAUAACGCCUUUGGAGGAAGCACUCAACCAGUACUCUGUCAUCGAGGAGACCAGCUCUGACACAGACUAAAAAGCAUCACGUGCUCAACUCUCAAUAUUGCUUUUAUCAGCAUCUUUUCUCUGUAGCUCCAGGGGAAUCUUUUCUCUAAAACAUUUAUGCCCUUGCUUUGGCUAGAAACACAUUAACUGGUUUACUCAUUGAGAAUCCAGCAUAUUUAAGAGGUGAUCCUGUGUUUUUGCGAUAUUGAGGCAUUCAUACAGAGCUGCAGUUAGAUGGAGUUGCAGGGGCUAGAAAUGGGAAAAAAAAAUUCCAUUCCAUCAAGAUGAAACUGAAGGACUUCACUCUAUAAAGCAGCCCUGGUUGAAUCUGGCAGUUCUGUUUGCCAAGAUUCUUAACAGAAGAUUUAGCUGUGUCCUUCUUCUCACUUGUGUGAGCUGCCCAUUCUGAAUCUCUCCAGAGAUGGAGGCAUGUGAGAAGCGGAAAGAGCUGCUAAAAAGGGGCUGAGGCAAGUGACUUGUUAAAUCAGGACCGAGUGAAUGGAAGCCAAGCAGCUGCUCCAUAAACCUAGCCCCACUCUUUACUUCAUUUCAAUUUUGUAUAAAUCUGUAGAAAUGUGCACACACGCACACACACACAGCCCCAGACUUGCAAACUGAUUACACUCAAAAAGUCUGUAUGUCUGCUGUCUAGAACUUCAGAAUACAUUUCUCCCUGUCAAGUUAUAAAUGAUGGUUUAGUUCUGAGGCAGCUACAGAUGCCUAUUUAUUCCCUAAUGUACCUGAACACUAGUACCAUAGAACUGAGCCCCCAUCUGUAUCACUGCAUGGGGAGCAUGCAUUCUGAGGUCUAACAUAGGGGUGCUGGGGAAACAUACUCCCCAACCCUGUAGAGGGAAUGGGGACCCUUGGGUACCAGGAGUUCUUUUGUAGCCUCUGCUGGGGGCAGGGGAGUCAGUAGCACCCGUUUGUACAUAUAGGUCAUUCUUAUGUCACAUGUUUUAAAUUGGGGACUGUGUGUGCUUGUGUGUGUGUUCUACCUUUCUACCAUAUGUGAUCAGUUUAAUGGGAACUUUAUUUAUUUAAAAAAGAAACACAAAUAGUUACUGUUAAACUGACUAAAGCUGUUUAUUUUUACUUUUAGAAUUGGUCAUGUGAAGAAGUAGAAAACAAAUCAUGCAAUAGACUGUGGGCCUAGUUAAUCAAUGGCUAAAGUUGAAAAGGGGUUGGUUUCCUUAUAUAUAUAUAUAUAUAUAUAUAUGUAUGUAUGUAUAUACA